UUUAGGAAGUUCAACAGCCCACUGACGCCCUGCGUUCAGACUCCGGCAAAGCAAUUAACUGGCCGGGAGCACAAAGGCCAGACUCGGCAGCUGCGGGACAGGCCUGGCCAGAGGCUUGACGGCGAAGGCUUGUCAAGCUCAAUCAACCGGGUGAAGCCAGGGGCUGACAAUGACACAGAGUCCCCAAGUUGCCCAUUGUUCUCUGGCCAAUGCCAAUCUGCCUCCCGGUGCCUCCAGGAAUCUGGAGGAAAAACAAAACAUUUUUUUCAAACCUGGUGUUUUCAAGUCUUCAGUCAUUUGUCACCACCCAGCGUAGAAGAGCACCCCAGGCUCGGGUGUGGCUCAGCGGGCACCGGGCAGAGCUGCUCCUUCUUUAUCUGCUUCCUUCCAGAUCCACUAGCUAAUGCGAGACCUUUGGGCCUUCCUCACAAACAGGCCCUGAAUCACCUCCGAAGCCCGGGAAAGGUACCGUCAUUCUUCCUGUCCUCGCCAUCCAGUUCCUGGGCCGGGCGGAGGCAUGGACGCCAACCGCUGGAUCACGGCCACCCUCAGACAAAAGGCACAGGCUCCAGAGCCACCUGCCCCACACCGCCCUCCCGGGGAAUACCCCCCCCACCCCGGCCCUCGUGGAGAGGGUGUAAGGUCCCUCGACCCCGUGGUCAGCGGGGAACCCUGGCCCCAAAGGACUUUCCAGAGGGGCCUUUAAUUGCAGCAUGGCAUGAAGAGCGGCCCUGCAGAGAUCUAGACCACUCCCGUGGUCACAGCUAAUUCUAUCGGCCGACACCGGUCUGAGAGGCCCACUGGGAUAGAGUGCGAAGUCUUAGUUCCCCGUUUGCAAUCUCUGAUUCCAACCCACGAACCUCAACUCUGCCUCCUGCCCCAUGUUUCACAAGAACAGGAAGUUGGAGAAGUGACGGCCGUGGGCACGAGCUGCCCCUGCUGAGAAAUAGCCCGUCAGGAGCGAACUGUGCGUCCUGCGCACCGGGGGACCUGCCAGCAAGAGUCGCGGAUGCUGGAACUCUGCUUGUUUUUCGUGAAAUGAGGCCAAUCCAAGAAUUCCAUGUCAACAUCGCUCCUUUUACUGGAACCACAAGCGUAGCCCCCUGGGACCUGCUGUAUCUCUGGGCGGACAUCAAAAACAACUCCUUUUUGCUUUGAAAUUAUAACAGUCUUCUGAGAGCUA
rnacentral:lncRNA from 12 species